AGAUGAAAAGAGUCCUUUUCUGGGAGCAUUCCCAAGUUUUUGUGUGUGCCUAGCAAUGCAGACUCAAGUAACAGCAGCAACAAAGCUCAGCACAUCCCCAUCUGUCUGUUGCACUCAAUACGCCCUGGUGAUGAGGGAGUUCACGUGCAAUGUGCAGCCAGCAGAGGGAAUUUGCUCAAGGUCAUUGUUUCCUGGCGAAUGUUGUGCCUUAAUGGCAUUCAGGGCAGCACUGGUGGGAAGGAGCAAAUGAGUCCAGCUGGGACCACCAGCUCUGAGGGUUUUGGGCCCCCACAGCGAAGCCUGGAUCAGCUCAAAACACCUGUCAAGGACAUACCUGAAGAGAGAGAAAUUUAAGCAGUGCUGGCAGACAAGAAACCUGCUUCCCAGCCUGUCUCCUCCGUUGCCUGAAUAUCAGGGGUAUAAGGAAAUGUUUGCUGACUACAGCACGUCCAAAUGUGAAUUACAACAGAACUGUAAGGGUCUGGGUCCCAGGAACUCAGAAACCAAAUCUUUCCUUUACCAUCCAAGUGAUGUGCCAAAGAGAUGUGACACUGGCAGGAGUGUCUCUGGAAGACCAGCAGAGCCAGGGACUCUGCACUGCACUGGCAAGGUCAACAUUGCCAAGAACCCUGACUUAACUCCCUCCUCCAGCUGUGUCCUCUGCACAGAUACCCCAGCUGUAUUACAGAAAAAAAAAGAAAAUCUAAAGACCGAAGAUGCGUGUUCCUCACCAAACUUUUGAGAAUGGACAUAAGUGAUGUGACAGGUCAGAAGGUGAGAUGAAAGGCUUUUUAAUAGUACUGACUCUUGCUAACUUAAGACCAAAGUCCAAGCUGACAGAGUAUGAAGUUUUUCUCCAGUCUCCAGUGCACCAGAAACUGAAGAUGCUGUUUUCUCUUUGUCUAGUGUGCUGUAUGUGUGGAUUCUGGUGAGGGUAUUGCAUGGGGUUUUUAAGAACCAGUUCUGGUCCUUCCUUUCAUCUUAGGUUUCAGCUCAUCAGGAUUGAGAAAUCUGUAUUAAAAAAAAAAAAAAAAAUUUUUUUUCCCCUGAAGUCAAGGGGCAAAAAUGGAGUAUGUUAUCUUCAGAGCAGGACAGUGAUGGAUUAGAAAUCCAGCACAAACCAGUAGUCCUGUGAGCUGCAAAUCUGAUAGGGCUUUGUUUCCCUUGGGCAAAUCUUUGGAUUCUCCUAGGUCUACAUAGCUGAAAGCUCUGGCUGCAGCUUUUCCUGUGGGUGGGUAUUCAUAACAUCUUUCAUCAUUGCAGCUUUCUUGGUGUUUAAUAAGGGUUUAACUCAAGCUGCAGUGGGUCUCCUUUUUCUUAGCAGCCUGUUCUUAUGAAAUGUAUAGGAAUGUAGCAUUUUCAGCACUUUAUUGCUCUGUCAGAUGUGGUUAAAAUUGGCUACUGUUUGUUCUCGUUCCCUUUCUCUUGCACAACACACAAGUAUGUACAAGCACGUAUGUGUGCACACAUGCGGACGCACACAGAGAUUUAUUAUACAUAUGAAGAGAUAAUGAUCUCAAACCCCUUUUAAUUUCUAUAGGAAUCCAGCUAGGUAAGAAAGUAUCGGAAUGCUAUUUCUUUGGGAGAGGAAAAGGAGGAUGAACUAAUUUUUUUCUAUGCAGCAGACAGAAUAUUAAAUUAUUGCUUUGUUUAAACGUAACAUGUGUUGCUGAAAAUCUGGCACCACUAUUAUAAAGUAAAAGAUGUAGUGGGCUCUGUGUCCUGGAACUGUAUACUUGUGCUUGUGCACGGCACGCACGCUUCGCCUCCAGUGCCUGAGUGGUCCUGCUGAGACUGGAGGAAUGUGUAGGGAAUGUAGGUUUGCCGCGACAUCCCGUCUCCAUUACAUCUUUUGGAUCUUUGCCACAGAAAAGAAGGCAUUUUACCCUUCAUUUGUAAGUAAUUAAGAUGAUAGUGGAGUUAGAGUUUUCCAACUUUGUGAAAACAAACUAAUAGAAAUGAUCCACUUCAAUAACUCAGAUAUUAAUUGAAACAAGAGAGAGAAACAAUACAUUAAGAAAUAAUUAACUUUCGUUAAUUAAUUUUUAGAAAUAGGAAGGACACCUGCAGCAAGUGCAGAUGUUUGCAGGUGUCAUUAGAUUGGGAAGGUUGUGCAGUAAUUUGGAAAUGGAAACAGGUCAAAAGGACCAGGAGCAAUCUGCAGCAUGGUCUGACUAAUAGUAUAAACUAUGUGAUUGCUAGUGAGCAGCAAAAAAGGUGAUGAAGAUGUGCAUUUUUUUAAAGGAUAUUUAUAGAAGCCAGAGGUUAAUUAGCAGUUAAAAAGCAUCUACUGGUGUUUUAUGUCAGUACCAUCGGUGUGUUAAUUAUUGUAUUUUCAGCCUCAAAUGUGCCUCUUUCAGACUUCAGAUGAAAUAGAUUGAUGAUUCUUUUACUGAGACGUUUCUUAGAUAAAUUUUAAUUAGUAACUUCCCCCUUUCCCCCUGCGAAAUCAGUUUUCUUCUAUGACCAGAACUGGAAUUUCAUCUCUCACUCA